rnacentral:rRNA from 9 species
UUAAGCGACUAAGCGUACACGGUGGAUGCCCUGGCAGUCAGAGGCGAUGAAGGACGUGCUAAUCUGCGAUAAGCGUCGGUAAGGUGAUAUGAACCGUUAUAACCGGCGAUUUCCGAAUGGGGAAACCCAGUGUGAUUCGUCACACUAUCAUUAACUGAAUCCAUAGGUUAAUGAGGCGAACCGGGGGAACUGAAACAUCUAAGUACCCCGAGGAAAAGAAAUCAACCGAGAUUCCCCCAGUAGCGGCGAGCGAACGGGGAGGAGCCCAGAGCCUGAAUCAGUGUGUGUGUUAGUGGAAGCGUCUGGAAAGGCGCGCGAUACAGGGUGACAGCCCCGUACACAAAAAUGCACAUGCUGUGAGCUCGAUGAGUAGGGCGGGACACGUGGUAUCCUGUCUGAAUAUGGGGGGACCAUCCUCCAAGGCUAAAUACUCCUGACUGACCGAUAGUGAACCAGUACCGUGAGGGAAAGGCGAAAAGAACCCCGGCGAGGGGAGUGAAAAAGAACCUGAAACCGUGUACGUACAAGCAGUGGGAGCACAGAGCAAUCUGUGUGACUGCGUACCUUUUGUAUAAUGGGUCAGCGACUUAUAUUCUGUAGCAAGGUUAACCGAAUAGGGGAGCCGAAGGGAAACCGAGUCUUAACUGGGCGUUAAGUUGCAGGGUAUAGACCCGAAACCCGGUGAUCUAGCCAUGGGCAGGUUGAAGGUUGGGUAACACUAACUGGAGGACCGAACCGACUAAUGUUGAAAAAUUAGCGGAUGACUUGUGGCUGGGGGUGAAAGGCCAAUCAAACCGGGAGAUAGCUGGUUCUCCCCGAAAGCUAUUUAGGUAGCGCCUCGUGAAUUCAUCUCCGGGGGUAGAGCACUGUUUCGGCAAGGGGGUCAUCCCGACUUACCAACCCGAUGCAAACUGCGAAUACCGGAGAAUGUUAUCACGGGAGACACACGGCGGGUGCUAACGUCCGUCGUGAAGAGGGAAACAACCCAGACCGCCAGCUAAGGUCCCAAAGUCAUGGUUAAGUGGGAAACGAUGUGGGAAGGCCCAGACAGCCAGGAUGUUGGCUUAGAAGCAGCCAUCAUUUAAAGAAAGCGUAAUAGCUCACUGGUCGAGUCGGCCUGCGCGGAAGAUGUAACGGGGCUAAACCAUGCACCGAAGCUGCGGCAGCGACACUGUGUGUUGUUGGGUAGGGGAGCGUUCUGUAAGCCUGUGAAGGUGUGCUGUGAGGCAUGCUGGAGGUAUCAGAAGUGCGAAUGCUGACAUAAGUAACGAUAAAGCGGGUGAAAAGCCCGCUCGCCGGAAGACCAAGGGUUCCUGUCCAACGUUAAUCGGGGCAGGGUGAGUCGACCCCUAAGGCGAGGCCGAAAGGCGUAGUCGAUGGGAAACAGGUUAAUAUUCCUGUACUUGGUGUUACUGCGAAGGGGGGACGGAGAAGGCUAUGUUGGCCGGGCGACGGUUGUCCCGGUUUAAGCGUGUAGGCUGGUUUUCCAGGCAAAUCCGGAAAAUCAAGGCUGAGGCGUGAUGACGAGGCACUACGGUGCUGAAGCAACAAAUGCCCUGCUUCCAGGAAAAGCCUCUAAGCAUCAGGUAACAUCAAAUCGUACCCCAAACCGACACAGGUGGUCAGGUAGAGAAUACCAAGGCGCUUGAGAGAACUCGGGUGAAGGAACUAGGCAAAAUGGUGCCGUAACUUCGGGAGAAGGCACGCUGAUAUGUAGGUGAAGUCCCUCGCGGAUGGAGCUGAAAUCAGUCGAAGAUACCAGCUGGCUGCAACUGUUUAUUAAAAACACAGCACUGUGCAAACACGAAAGUGGACGUAUACGGUGUGACGCCUGCCCGGUGCCGGAAGGUUAAUUGAUGGGGUCAGCGCAAGCGAAGCUCUUGAUCGAAGCCCCGGUAAACGGCGGCCGUAACUAUAACGGUCCUAAGGUAGCGAAAUUCCUUGUCGGGUAAGUUCCGACCUGCACGAAUGGCGUAAUGAUGGCCAGGCUGUCUCCACCCGAGACUCAGUGAAAUUGAACUCGCUGUGAAGAUGCAGUGUACCCGCGGCAAGACGGAAAGACCCCGUGAACCUUUACUAUAGCUUGACACUGAACAUUGAGCCUUGAUGUGUAGGAUAGGUGGGAGGCUUUGAAGUGUGGACGCCAGUCUGCAUGGAGCCGACCUUGAAAUACCACCCUUUAAUGUUUGAUGUUCUAACGUGGACCCGUGAUCCGGGUUGCGGACAGUGUCUGGUGGGUAGUUUGACUGGGGCGGUCUCCUCCUAAAGAGUAACGGAGGAGCACGAAGGUUGGCUAAUCCUGGUCGGACAUCAGGAGGUUAGUGCAAUGGCAUAAGCCAGCUUGACUGCGAGCGUGACGGCGCGAGCAGGUGCGAAAGCAGGUCAUAGUGAUCCGGUGGUUCUGAAUGGAAGGGCCAUCGCUCAACGGAUAAAAGGUACUCCGGGGAUAACAGGCUGAUACCGCCCAAGAGUUCAUAUCGACGGCGGUGUUUGGCACCUCGAUGUCGGCUCAUCACAUCCUGGGGCUGAAGUAGGUCCCAAGGGUAUGGCUGUUCGCCAUUUAAAGUGGUACGCGAGCUGGGUUUAGAACGUCGUGAGACAGUUCGGUCCCUAUCUGCCGUGGGCGCUGGAGAACUGAGGGGGGCUGCUCCUAGUACGAGAGGACCGGAGUGGACGCAUCACUGGUGUUCGGGUUGUCAUGCCAAUGGCACUGCCCGGUAGCUAAAUGCGGAAGAGAUAAGUGCUGAAAGCAUCUAAGCACGAAACUUGCCCCGAGAUGAGUUCUCCCUGACCCUUUAAGGGUCCUGAAGGAACGUUGAAGACGACGACGUUGAUAGGCCGGGUGUGUAAGCGCAGCGAUGCGUUGAGCUAACCGGUACUAAUGAACCGUGAGGCUUAACCUU